ensembl:miRNA MIR361 microRNA 361
GGAGCUUAUCAGAAUCUCCAGGGGUACUUAUAAUUUGAAAAAGUCCCCCAGGUGUGAUUCUGAUUUGCUUCCUCCUCCUC